AGGAUAAACGCUGGCGGCGUGCCUAACACAUGCAAGUCGAACGUCUCUUCUUUCGGGAAGAGGAGUGGCGGACGGGUGAGGAACACGUGGGAACCUGCCCUUUAGUGAGGAAUACCGGCGAGAAAUCGCCGACAAGACCGCAUAGCCCUCUUUGAUGAGAGUCAAAGAAGGAAAGCUUCGCAAGAGGCGCUAGAGGAGGGGCCUGCGUCCGAUUAGCUAGUUGGUGGGGUAAGAGCCUACCAAGGCGUCGAUCGGUAGCUGGUCUGAGAGGACGAUCAGCCACACUGGGAUUGAGAACGGCCCAGACUCCUACGGGGGGCAGCAGUGAGGAAUUUUCGGCAAUGGGGGAAACCCUGACCGAGCAACGCCGCGUGCAGGAAGACGGCCUUCGGGUUGUAAACUGCUUUCUUUGGGACGAGGAAGGACGGUACCAGAGGAAUCGAGCCCCGGCUCACUACGUGCCAGCAGCCGC
rnacentral:rRNA from 1 species